rnacentral:rRNA from 1 species
UUUUUUGAGAAUUUGAUCCUGGUUCAGGAUGAACGCUGGCGGCGUGCUUUAGGUAUGCAAGUCGAACGGAUGAGGCCGCAAGGCCAAGUCAGUGGCAGACGGGUGAGUAACGCGUAUGAAUCUACCCUCGAGUGGAAAAUAACUUGUCGAAAGACGGGCUAAUGUUCCAUGGUAUCGCAAGAUUAAAGGAGUUAACUCUCCGCUUGAGGAGGAGCAUGCGUCCUAUCAGCUAGUUGGUAAGGUAAAGGCUUACCAAGGCUAUGACGGGUAUCUGGACUGAGAGGUUGAACAGACACAGGGGCACUGAGACACGGGCUCCACACCUACGGGUGGCAGCAACCAGGAAUAUUGCGCAAUGGGGGAAACCCUGACGCAGCGACGCCGCGUGGAGGAAGACAGCUUUCGGGUUGUAAACUCCUUUUGAUAGUCCCUUCACAGACUAUAGAAUAAGGCCUUACUAACUACGUGCCAGAAGUCUCGGUAAUACGUAGGGGCCAAGCGUUAUCCGGAUUUACUGGGCGUAAAGAGUGUGUAGGCGUCCUUCUAAGUUUUCAUUUAAAUCUCAAGGCUUAACCUUGAAUCUGGUGGAAAUACUGGUUGGAUUGAGGAUUGUUCGGGGUACUAGAACGGUUGGUGUAGCGGUGAAAUGCGUUGAUAUCAACUGGAAUACCAAAGGCGAAGGCAGGUACCUGGAAUUCUCCUGACGCUGAGACACGAAAGCUAGGGUAGCGAAACAGAUUAGAGACCUGUGUAGUCCUAGCCGUAAACUAUGGAUGCUAGAUUCCCCGGAAUCAAGCGUAUAAUGUAAAAAUUUUCUUCGUGUGAUAAUUUUUAAAAAAUUGUACUUUUGAUUUUGGGGAGUCGUAAGCUAACGCGUUAAGCAUCCCGCCUGGGGAGUACGGCCGCAAGGCUAAAACUCAAAGGAAUUGACGGGGACCCGCACAACCAGUGGAGCGUGUGGUUCAAUUUGAGACGAAGCAAAAAACCUCACCA